GCUCCCAUGGCGUAGUGGUCACUGCGCUCGCCUUGCACGCGGGAGACCCGAGUUCGAUUCCCGGCGGGGUCA
rfam:Asian citrus Psyllid, Diaphorina citri - Florida Strain, whole genome shotgun sequence.